GAAACUGAGUCGAUGGUGUAUAUACUUGAUAUAUAUAAAUGGUCAAAAUACGGAAGUGCUUUUAUGAAAGUCAAAUAUGCAGUUGUCUUCCUGUUUGAAUCUUCAUUGUUGAUUCCAAGUUUGCUGCUUCCCAAAAAGUGGAGAUUUGUAGUACGGACAGAACUUCAACCUCCUUAGAAUUGUAUUGCCACAAAAAACAGAUUUGGAAUCUCAAAGAAAGCAGGUUCUUAUGCUACAUAAUUGUUUCCUCUACUUAUAGAUAACCUCUCUAUUUUGUCGUCUCUAACAGCCAAGAUGAGUGCUCUACGCGUACGGCUCAUGCUAACUGAACUGGUGAUGUUUCUUUCUUCACCUCGAUUGACGCCACAUGUUCCCCCUGGUUGCCGCGUCGUCCUCGCCUUCGGCUUGCAAGGGACUGGAUCUGGUGUGAUUGAUUCUUCCUCUCACAAGGUUAUGAUGGCCGACAAACAGCUCCAACUUCACGGGUCGCCAGGCUCGUCGAGUGACGCUGGCUCCAACGGUGGUCUGUGAGCACUUGCCCAGGUCAAUUGAUAUUUGUGGUGGCCCUUCUCUGUUUUUACUUGGAAAAUUUUAGUCUGUAUGUACCUCAGUGAUUUUUAAAAUCAAAGGAAAUGCUAUGUGCAGAAAAAUACAUAUCUAAUCUAGGGGGUAUAUGUAAUAGCAGUAGAUAAAUAAUAAUGUUUAGAUUCAGGCAGUAUACUACAAUCUGCCUUCUGGAGAGGGGUCUAUGCUUGCCUUCAGGGAGGCUGUGUGGUGCCGACGGCGAGGUCUUCAUAAUGGCAUUAAGUCACCCUUGCCAUAUGGAUCAUAUGUAAGCUCUUCCAGCUAACCUACAGGAGUACAUUUUGAUGCUUCAAGUCUGAACCUAUGUAACUUGUGAACUAAUGCCUCCCUGAGUGUGUGUGUGUGUGCACGCGCGCUAUGUUAAAUCAAACUUCUUCAGACUACUGUGAAGUAAUGCCACUUGUCAUAUUGACCAAAUUUCAUUGCUUGAUGGCCAUUUAGAGAGGCCAUUUAGAGUUGUCAAAAAUCUGGGACUGUGAAGUCUAUUUACACUGUCAAAAAGCUCGGACUGUUUUCAGA